rnacentral:rRNA from 1 species
UACGAAGGGUGCAAGCGUUACUCGGAAUUACUGGGCGUAAAGCGUGCGCAGGCGGUUUUGUAAGACAGAUGUGAAAUCCCCGGGCUCAACCUGGGAACUGCGUUUGUGACUGCAAGACUCGAGUGCGGCAGAGGGGGGUGGAAUUCCACGUGUAGCAGUGAAAUGCGUAGAGAUGUGGAGGAACACCGAUGGCGAAGGCAGCCCCCUGGGUCGACACUGACGCUCAUGCACGAAAGCGUGGGGAGCAAACAGG